rnacentral:rRNA from 1 species
CAGGCAGGGAUACCCGCUGAACUUAAGCAUAUCAAUAAGCGGAGGAAAAGAAACCAACAGGGAUUGCCUCAGUAACGGCGAGUGAAGCGGCAACAGCUCAAAUUUGAAAUCUGGCUCUUUUAGGGUCCGAGUUGUAAUUUGUAGAGGAUGCUUCGGCGUCGGCUCCGGUCUAAGUUCCUUGGAACAGGACGUCAUAGAGGGUGAGAAUCCCGUAUGUGAUCGGUUGCCCUUGCCAUGUGAAGCUCCUUC